UCAUCCCAGUUUUUAUGCCAGAUUGCGGAGAAUGUGGAGAUUGCAUAUCUAGCAAGAGCAACCUUUGCAGCAAAUUCCCUUUUGAAUUUGUUCCAUGGUUGCAUAGAGACCAGAAAAGCAGAUUCACUGACCUUAAUGGAGAAACUUUGCAUCAUUUCUUAUAUAUUUCAAGUUUCAGCGAGUAUACGGUGGUGGAUACUGUUCACAUUGUUAAAGUUGAUACUAGGAUCCCACCAAAUAGAGGAUGCCUCCUCAGCUGCGGAGUAUCCACUGGUAUUCUAUUGUUUUAUUAGUCAGUAGUCACAUGCAUGAGAUAUUCAGUUCCUUCAUAUUUCAAGCAUUCUUAAUUAUUCAUAUUACUGAGUGUGAACCUUGCUAUUACUAAAUCAAAGUUAUCCUUGUAGGGGUAGGUGCUGCCUUGAAAACUGCAAAUGUGGAAGCUGGAUCGACUGUGGCCAUCUUUGGACUCGGUGCUAUAGGAUUGGCUGUAUGAUUCUGCAGUCUGUUCUGAAUUUGUUUAAUUUAAUAAAUGUGAUAUAACAUGGCUCUGGUGUGGAUAAUCAGUUUGGGAUAUGAUGUAUGUCAUAGGUCUCAGAAGGAUCAAGACUUUGUGGAGCUAAACGAAUAAUUGGUGUCGAUGUGAAUGAAGACAAGUAUGAGAUAGGUAAUAAAUUAAUGUGGAACUUUCUUUCCAGUCGAUGUUAAGUGAAAUACAGUGAUCUCUUGGCUGUUAUACUAGAUCAAAGUAAUAGAUUGACCAAUUGUCUAUACAAGCUAUAACUAAUUCAGUCUGGUUGAUAAAUGGAUUCUCAAUAGCUUGUAAAUUGAGUCCCAUUGUUCUCAUGCAGCAAAAAGAUUUGGAGUGACGGAUUUUGUGAACUCUCUCACAUGUGGUGAAAAAUCUGUGAGCCAGGUACACUAAGCCUGUCAACUUGUACAGAGUUUUGUAUAUUCAUUUGACUCUGUUUUAUUACUUUUAAUAUUUGUAUAUUAGCUAUCUUCCAAUACAUACAUCAGACUGCUAACACGGAGAGGGGAAAUGAGAAUUCAUACCUACUUUGGCCAUUAUUCACUUUAAAAUAUUCAUGAACUAUGGUUAUGUUUCUGAGAAUGAUUAUAUACAUAUAUUGUUAGUAAUAAUAAUUCGUCUCUCAUAUCACAUCGGCAGGUGAUUUUAGAGAUGACUGAUGGUGGCGCAGACUAUUGCUUUGAAUGUGUUGGUAUCGCAUCCUUAGUGCAUGAGGCUUUCGCUUGCUGCCGAAAGGUGUCACAAUUUCCUUUGCACUGCUGUAAUUAAUAAUCCGCGUUUAAUAUUGCUCUAAAAACCCUGUGCCUGAUUUUUUUGUCCCAUCCAUCAUCUAUGGUCUUUCUUGAGAUGCAUUAAACUAUUGAGUAGAUCAUGAACUCUAUAUGAAUUAACAUUAAGUAGACGCAAUAAUUAAUAAGGAUAAUUAUAACUUUUAUACGAUGAAAUAUUGUGCUUCCCUAACACAAACAUAUAUUGAUGAGUUUCUUAUUAUACAUUCGCAGGGAUGGGGAAAGACGGUUGUUUUGGGAGUGGAUAAGCCAGGUUCAAACUUGACCUUGUCUUCUGUUGAGGUUGUUCGGUCAGGAAAGACUCUCACAGGAUGCCUGUUUGGAAGCAUUAAACGAAAAUCUGAUGUUCCUAUGCUUGUAAAACGAUAUUUGGACAAGGCAUUUCGAUAUCUAUUAGAUUUAACUAUUCAAGGUUGCUUAUGUUUAUUGAUCAGAACAGAUCAUUUUUAAAAAGCAGUAAAGAAACUAUUUUGUUCUCCUUGGAAUAAGCCCUAUGGUUGAUCUGAAAUUUCAGGAGCUGGAACUGGAUAAGUUUGCGACUCAUGAAGUCAAGUUUGAAGACAUCAACAAGGCNGAGUUACUUGUAGAUGGAAAGAGCGUGCGAUGUAUAAUAUGGAUGGACCAAAACAAAUAGGAGAGUUCCUGCAGCCUUCUGCACUCAGCUGCCAGCUGCAAUAAGUGAAGAAAUUCAAGUGGAGUUACAUUUAUAUGCAAUAUUUCCUCUUUGAGAUCAAUAAAUAUAUCUGGAUUCUGAACAAUUUUAUGAAAUUAUUCGAUUAGAAACCUCCUUGGUCAGUGAUAUUAGUUCAGUUUUAUUUAAUAUUAUUAAUUAUUAAUAAAUUUCUUUGGUUCAUAAAUAUGCGCUUUUAAGUCCUUGAACGAGCUCUGGUUUCUUUUUCCGAUGAUGAUAAUAGCUUUGGUUUUACCUCAUUUUGCUUAGGCAGUCAUACGUAAUAUUCAGCAGACAACUUUGAGAUUUUGCGUCUCUUUGAGCUUUUGCGUUUAAGAUUAUUGACAUGCAAUCUCUGUCAGGUACUGUCAAUAUAGAGGAAAUGGUUUAAAAGUUAAUACUAUGUUAAGAUGAUUAUUUAAAAUUUAGUAAAGAAGUCAAAGUGCACGAUGUGAUUAGCAACUUGUAGCAUGAAGAUCAAUAUAAAUAGAUAGAUGUUUUAUCAUACAGUUGAUUAUGGAGAUGAUUGAGGGUGUUGCCGAUUAUUGCUUCGAAUGUGUUGGUACGGCAUCCUUGUUGCAUGAAGCAUUUGCUUGGUGCAGAAUGGUAUCCUUAAUUCUCCACUUCCUCUCUCAUUUACAAACAGAAAAGCAGUCUAACAUUUUGCAGAUGAAAAACUGGCUCAGUUUCACAGGAAUUAACAUGUUCUAUCUCAAUCUGUCACUUAACUUACAGGGAAAAUUCAUUGUACCUAAAUUCACAUUUGUAGCCUAAUUUUCUUCUGACAUGUGCUUUACUUGAAGUUAUUCGGCCUUGUUUCCAAGUUAAAACUGAUGAUAAAGUACUUAACUCGUGACAAUUUUUUACUAGGGGUGAGCAUUCGGUUCGUUAACCGAAAACCGAACCGAUUAGCCGAAAAAAAUUCUGUUCGGUUAACCAAUAUAAUUAUUUCGGUUCGGUUUUCGGUAGGAAAAUAUCUAAAUUUCGGUUUUUCGGUUUUUUAACCGCGGUUAACCGAUAACCUAAAUUCGGUUCGGUUUUUACAGAGGGUCUUCUGCGAUUGCUUAACUAUAUCUUUCAAAUUAUUAUCUAAUCCUGCAACCAGUUGUCCCGAUGAUCCGUAAAACAAAGCAGACAUUCAAAGUAGCUCUAAAAAAUGAUAGUGGUCAUCUAAAAGUUUCAUCAUCAAUGUGACUGCAGGGAUGGGGAAAGACAAUUGUAGUGGGAGUGGACAAGCCAGCGGCAAUGUUGAGCUUCACAUCUUUUGGAGUUCUUCAUAAUGGAAAAACCCUCAUGGGUUCGCUAUUUGGAAAUCUGAAGCCUAAAUCCGACAUUCAAAUGCUGCUAAAACGCUACAUGGACAAGGUAAUCUAGUAACGGAAAGAGCUCUGUAUCAGAUAUUUUUUGUUUCCUCGAGAAUCUGCUCUAAUUGUUUGAAAACCUUCAGGAGCUGGAGUUGGAUAAGUUUGUAACUCAUGAAGUGAGUCUGGAAGACUUUAACAAAGCUUUUGAGUUACUAACAGAGGGAAAGAGCCUUAGAUGUGUCAUUUGGAUGGACAAAUAAUCAGCUUACCGGCGGACAAUAUCCGGUACUUAUAUCGGUUUAUAUGCGACUUUUCCUUGCUUUUCCUUCUCCAUUUAGUGUCUAUUCAACUAAGAUUUUAAUAAAUUUUAUACGAGUUACGGAUUUUAAUGAAUUAUAUUUUAUUUUGAUUGUAUGCGAAUCAUCGAUAAAAUGUCAUAGCGUGGAAGUCUUUAAAAUUUAUCCACAAGGAAAAUGCUUCGCAAUCUUGUUGAUUUGAUUUAAUGAGAUUUUUUUUUAUGUCAUAAGAUGAUUUUCUUCUUGGAUUCUUUGUGAUAAAAUAAAAUUGGAACUAGGCCUCGUUUGGUAAGCAGGACUCAGAGUUACACAAUAACUAGAACUUACAGCGUGCAGUUAUGUUUGAAUUAUAUAUGUAUGUAACUAUGCAAAUUUGAUUAUUGAUGUAAUAUUAAAUUAAUAAAUUUACACAAACAUAUAAAAAUAAAAAUAAUUUUAUAUGUAAUAUUAAACAAAGUUAUAUACAUUUUAAUAUAAUGUUAAAAGAAAAAAGUAUAUAUUGAUAUUUAUAAAUUAAAUAAAAAAAAUAUUAAUAUAUAAGUGAAAUUUUAAAUUUUAUAAUUAGAUAAAAUAAUUAUAUAAAAAUAUAAUUAAUAUAGAUAUAAUUAUAUUAGUUAUAUUAUAAAAUUAAAAUUGUAUUUAUGUAUAUCAUUAAAAAAACUUAUAAAAUAUAAUUAGUUAUAAUUAUAUUAAAAUAAGUAUAAAUUAAAAUUAUAUAAACAUGAUUUUAUAAAUAUUGACAUACAAAAAUAUUGUGACAUAAAAUUAUUAUAACAAUUAGUAUCGGAAGUAAUUGCAACAUAUAUAAAAUAUUAAGUUAAAAGUAAACUAAGAUCAAUGUAUAUAAACAGGUAAUAUUAUAUCAAACAAUAAUUUUAUAUAUAAUAAUUAUAUUAUAAAUAAGGAAUGUUUGAAAAAUAUAUUAUAAAUAUUGUACAUAUAUACGGUGUUUUAGUGUAACUUGAGAUACCUACGAAGUGUGUGUUAGGUAGUUUGAAUUAAAAGUUGUACAACCAAAAAUGAGUUUCAUGGAAGUGUAGGUUACUGUGUUGGGUAACAACGUACCAAACAAGGCUUAAAAGUUGUCCACUUUGACAUUGAACAGUCAAAUUGAUCAGAGUUUGAUUGAAUGUUCUAUCUAUUGUAUCUAUUGUAUAGUUGAAAAAAUAUUAAAAAAAUUAUAUCAUUGUAAAGUAAAAAUAAUAUAUUUUAGAAUGCAAUUUUUAUUUUCUUAAAAUAAUUAGAGAAUCUUCCAUUAUAUUUUGUCAAUUUGACAAUUGAAUAAAAAGUGGACAACUAAAAAAUGGAUGGCGAAAAUUAUAAAAUUUUGAAACUAUAAGUUAAAUUGAACAAAUAAAUAUGAAUGACCUUAUCAAUGUAUGAUGAUAGCAUGAUGAUAGGUAUAUAAACUCACACACUUUAUUAUAUUUUUAUUAUUUUAUUUUUUAUUUUUGAAAUUUUAUUUUAUAAAUAUGUAAAGAACCACUUUAAAAGAUAAUUUAUGAUUAUAUUAUGGACUUUUUUCAUAAAUACUUCCAAAUUUAAAUGAUUUUUUGCAAAAUUAAUAUCUUUUUUAAAACAAAUUGCAAAAAUAUUAUACUUCAAAAUAUAUUUGCAAAAAUACGGAGGUUGCAUAUGCAACCAUAUCUGCAAUUGCUAGCAACCAUAUAUGCAAUCACAAAGACAACUUUGAAAAAAAUCUUUUGAAAAUCACCUUAAGUUGUAUAAUAAGUUGCUGGUUGCAAAGACAGAAAAAUGAGUAGCCCUACGGGGCCAAUACUAAUAUCACAAAUGCAAGCACAAAAACAACUACAAAAAUCAAAAUCAACAACCAUGCAACUAACAAUCAAUAUUCCUAAUCAACCAACAACGCCAUCACAUAUACAGUCAUAUACACACAAUUAUAUACAUACACCUAUACGAUACCUUUAAUCGAGCCUAAUUCAAUUUCUGAUCUUUCCAGAUUUUUGAACCCUAAUCAAUAAUUGAUUUCUCGACUAAAAUUUUGAUGAGAGAAAGAGGGAGAGAACAAGGAGAGAGGCAAUGAGAGAACAAAGCUAGGGGAGGGAAAUAAUGAGAGGGGAAAGCGAGAGAGCGAGGAGAGAGUGGGAUAGAUGAGGGCGGAAAAGAAGCAGAGGGAUAAAGUGAGAUGCUCUUGUCAAAGAGUGAGAUGAAAUGAGAUGCUGGGGUGGCCUUGCUUAAUCAUAUAUUUGCAAAUUUUUUAAUUUUUCUCCUCAAAGAACGUAAACUUGCAACAAAAACAACAAAAACCAUAAGACAGUAAUUUUGCAAUUAAUUUGUUAAAAAUGUGUAUAUUUGAUAAUUUCCUUUAUAUUAUUCAUUAUUACUAGGGAAUUAAGCAUGCGCUCGCAUCCUAAAGACCCUGUAUAUUAUCGAUAAAUAAUAUUAUUUUUUUACAAUUCUGAAUAUUAAAGAUUAAAAAAUGAAAAAGAAGAAGAAGUGAAGUUUAAUAUAAUAUGGCGAGACAAUUAUAUUGUUAUUAUGAUUUUAUAUGAGAGUAUGAUUUCUAAAAAGAUUUGUUGUAUAACGAAAAUAAUACGUUGAAAAAUUUAUUGAGUUGGGACAUCGGGCACGAAGUCGUAAUUUUUGCAAUUAAUCAAAAGAUACCUAAAUAUUUGUUAUCAUUAUUCAUCAAAAGAUUCCCAAAUCGUAGAAGACAAAGCUGGGUAUCCAAACUUUCUUAAUGUGAUGCGGAAAACAAACUGACAUUGAUUUUUUUUUUAUUUGACAAAAUUGAAACGGUUGAAUAAAAAAUGAAAUUUUAAGACAAGACGACGAGGGAUUUGAAUUGAUUGAUGUAAAUCGAUAUUCUCGCGAUUUCACAACUAAUUUAUAUGUUGAAAAGAUAUCUGAUUUGUAUUUUGAAGCAGUCACGAUUAGCGAAGAUAAGUCAAUUAUCAUAAAUAAAAGAUACUCAAGCUGUCGCUGCCAUUGAUGCAUGAUACGUGAUUUGUAUUUGUCUAUACUAUAUAUAGAUAGACUCUAGUGUAUCACUGAUAUUGUUAAUUGUAAUAUUUGAGUUUUCUGAUUUCUCAACAUGGAAGAGAGCAAAACAGCUGGUAAACCCAUUCGAUGCAGAGGUAAGCUCUUCAAACUCGCAGUUGAAUGUCACGUAAUAAUUUACGAAACAAGAAUUGUGUUAUGAUAUUUUCCGCUUAUGAUGUUCUCUGUAGAACUGUGUUAUAACAUUCUCCGCUUAUGUUGUUCUCCGUAGAAAUCAACUUAAAUGUUUAUGUAUAUAUAUAUGUCGAUUGUAUUGCAGCGGCGGUUGCUCGGAAAGCAGGGGAGCCACUGAGCAUGGAAGAAGUGAUCGUUGCUCCACCGGAAUCCGGUGAAGUCCGCCUUCGAAUUAUUUGCACCUCCUUGUGCUACAGUGACGUCACCUUCUGGAAAAUGAAAGUAAUCUUUGAUUAUUGUAAUUAUUUUUUUUAACUUGCUGUGAAUUUUUAACUCGGCACUAUCUCCUUGCAACUCUCUUUCUCUUAUUUUUUCCCCUGUGUUUAUGGUCAGGAUCCUCCUGCAUAUUUUCCCAGAAUACUUGGUCACGAAUGUUUCGGGUGCGUUUCUUUCGUUCUUUUUACUGUUUUUUACAAGUCAAUUACGCACUUAUAUAUUUUGUCUUUGACGAGUUUUGAAUUUCGCAAAGAGAACCAAAUAGAAAUCCAGGAUAUAUCAUAUCCCUUUGAUGUUUGUUUCUUUAAUUGAUAGUAAAGAAAGCAAGAUAACUCUUCUAUUUUGCUACAUUCUAUUUUGAAGGUUUCACUGACUUGCGCAUGUUAAGUUUAAUGUCUCACAAAAAUAAAAUAGCAUGGCUGAGCUAGUGAGCUUCAAUGUUACAUACAAAAAUGUUAUGACUAUCUAGAUUUCAUAUUUUUGACUAACUUCAGGGUUGUCGAGAGUGUUGGGGAGAAUGUCAGUGAGGUAACUGUAGGGGACACUGUCAUCCCAGUUUUUAUGCCAGAUUGCGGAGAAUGUGGAGAUUGCAUAUCUAGCAAGAGCAACCUUUGCAGCAAAUUCCCUUUUGAAUUUGUUCCAUGGUUGCAUAGAGACCAGAAAAGCAGAUUCACUGACCUUAAUGGAGAAACUUUGCAUCAUUUCUUAUAUAUUUCAAGUUUCAGCGAGUAUACGGUGGUGGAUACUGUUCACAUUGUUAAAGUUGAUACUAGGAUCCCA
rnacentral:lncRNA from 1 species